UAAUUUUAUACGAAAAUAAUUGUAUUACAUCUGACAAUAUGCGUCAUGAAAACGUAUUAUAAAAAAAUAAACACAGAGAAAUAUUCUAGAAACUCAAACAAUAAAAAGAGAAUGUGAUGAAUUACCGAAUCCCGAACAUGGCGUAGUGAUAAUGACCGGAAGACUCUUUAGUGACAAGGCUACUUAUAGCUGUGAAAUAGGUUACCAGCUAAUAGGUCGUGACCAUAGGACGUGCCAUGCUUCUGGUACGUGGUCAGGCUCGGAUCCGUAUUGUAAACAAAGUGUAUUUUGCAAAUCCCCUCCUGUAAUCGAAAAUGCAAUAAACAAUGCCUUUCCCGAUCAAUUAACUUACGAUGUCGGAGCUGAAGUUGAAUAUCGGUGCGAAAAUGGAUUUAUGAUGAGAGGGUUUGCAAAAGCUAAGUGUUUGGCGAUGGAUAUUUCUGCUUCGUGGUAUGGUCCUGAAGUAACAU